CAGGACGAACGCUGGCGGCGUGCUUAACACAUGCAAGUCGAACGGGGAUAAUGUGGAAGUCUUCGGGAUGGAAGUGAUUAUCGAGUGGCGGACGGGUGAGUAACGCGUGAACAAUCUGUCCCAGACAGGGGGAUAACACUUGGAAACAGGUGCUAAUACCGCAUAAGACCACGGGGCUGCAUGGCCCAGGGGUCAAAGGAGCAAUCCGGUGAAGGGUGGGCUCGCGUCCGAUUAGAUAGUAGGUGAGGUAACGGCCCACCUAGUCGACGAUCGGUAGCCGACCUGAGAGGGUGAUCGGCCACAUUGGGACUGAGACACGGCCCAAACUCCUACGGGAGGCAGCAGUGGGGAAUAUUGGGCAAUGGGGGGAAACCCUGACCCAGCAACGCCGCGUGAGGGAAGAAGGUUUUCGGAUCGUAAACCUCUGUCCUUGGUGAAGAGGAAGAGACGGUAGCCAAGGAGGAAGCCCCGGCUAACUACGUGCCAGCCGCCGC
rnacentral:rRNA from 1 species